rnacentral:misc_RNA from 1 species
UUUCCGUAGGUGAACCUGCGGAAGGAUCAUUACAGUGUUCUCUGCCCUCACGGGUAGAAACGCCCACCCUUGUGUAUUAUAUCUUUGUUGCUUUGGCAGGCCGCCCUCGGGCACCGGCUCCGGCUGGGUCGCGCCUGCCAGAGGAAACCCAAACUCUGAAUGUUAGUGUCGUCUGAGUACUAUCUAAUAGUUAAAACUUUCAACAACGGAUCUCUUGGUUCUG